AGGCAGGGUCUUCUCAGGGGAUUGAGUGACUUGACCAUAUUGUGCUACCCACAUUUCUUCCUCCUUUGAAGGAGCAUCUACAAAUGAAAACUACGAGCUAUCAAAGCUAUGAAUAUGCGUUGAAACCAGCAUAUCAUCGAAACAACAAGGUUCCCUUAACAAUACUACAGGCUAGUUAAUCAUUUUAUUGGGAUAAUGAUUUUGAAAGCAAAUGAGAAGAACAUAAUUAAAAUAGAAAAACCUUGAUCAAAGUUGUCUUCAUGUGGUUCAAAAUCUUCUUCAGGAAUCCAUUCUCCCUCUUCGAGUUCCUCAUCAUCAUCGUCUCCUGAAAAACAGACCCAAUUUGUAGCCCCUCUCCUCAAAUUCGAAAAUGAAGGAGCAGAUUCAU